GUUCACCCGGAGCACACGAUGUCCUUGAGACAGCGAUAUUGCGUCGAGUCGCCGGUCCAGACUACAUUUAACGAUAACGAAACGCGAGCAAAAGGUGUGCAUACACAGUGUCCACCCGUGCCUUCUCUAAAUUGUUGGAACAGAUUAUCAAGGAGACGGUUAAUUGAUCAAAACUAUAAGAAGAUUACAGGUGAAAGAUAUGAUAAUUGUUCUCAAGAAAUCUGAAAGAAUUCUAACAUACUAACUGCCUCUACUAUAUCGCACAAACGAUUUUUGAGUCAAGCGUUUAAAUGAUAUUUCAAGGAAAAUAAAAGUUUAGUUUGAAGAAAUAUAUGGGCGAAAUUUCACUAAGUGCGUAAAUGGACCAGGUUCCUAUGAAUCAUGGGCUAUGAGAAGUUAAUAAAUUACUAUUAAUUUUAUCUUAUAUUUCGCAAGUCUCCCAAUACUUAUGGACGGAGGUGUAUACGUGAGGAAAAAUGGUGAAUAGAAUAAUGAUUUUAUAAGUUGUUGUCUUGCAACGUUUCGGGGACAUCGUGAGAGUCCACUGUUUACGUGGAGCGUAAGUAUAGAAGGCCGUAUUGAACGAUCUUCUUCACUCGAGAGCACGUACAAUUAGGAUCGUAUUACAUGCGUACUGGUAUUGUCGUUUUGCUUGCCCGUUAUCGAGCACCGUUGACACCGUUCUCCAGGAGGGAGGAUUAGCGAUGUAAAUUUUCCACGAGGCCAGACAAAAUUAUCGAGGUGCGAUAUCGUUAUUUGGAUGAAAUGAUAAACGAAGACGAUAUAAUCGACGCGAUUUUGAGAACCAGCAUUACCAGAUCGUGAAACAUUUGUUGUGUCGAUGCUUAAUUAUUUGGUUCGUGUCGUGGAUAUCUUAAUCAGUGAAUCAAAAGGUAGGAAUAGCGGGUUUGAUAUUUUAUUAGCUUGAAUAUUGAUGUUUUAUUAGGAUGGAUAAGAAUUUGGGUGAAGAUGGUAUUAUGAUAAAAUGUGUGUUCUGAUGACGUUGAACACCUUUUUUACAUAUGUAAUAAACUUAUUUAAGAAUAUCGAACAUCAAGAAAAUUGUUCUACAGAUAAAAAUAAGACUAAUUCGUGUGAUAUAUGUGAUAGUUAUUUAAAAAUAUUGAAUAUCAGGAGAAUUGUUUUAUAAAUAAAAGGAAGAAUAAAAUGUUUGAAAAUGUGAUAAUUUUAUGUGACUGUUUACAGUGAGAAAUUGAAUAUGUAGAAUUGACAAAACUGAAAUGCGAGGACGUACUGAGUACUUCAGAUUAGAAUAUUAAAGAACAAUGCAUGGUUACUGAAGUUUUUGGAUGGACAUGAUUGAAUGUAUCUUGGAAACAUUUGCACAAUUUCAUUAAAGUACCUAAUGAACAUCGUAUAAUGUAAAAAAGAGGAAUUUGCUCGAGCUGCGUGUCUGAAUUAUUAGUUUCUGAACCAUAAUCGUUGAGUUCUUAUAUUGCAUUGUAUCACGUUAUGUUGUACUCUCAUAUUUCAAUAUUAUUUCAAUACGUUUAAUAAUAGUUUUAUUUACCAAAGUAACGAAUAUACCAAAAGAAAUUAAAAUUCAAUAUCUAAAACCGUCUUCAAACAAGAAUCAAUAUGGCUGAUAAAUUUAUGAAGACCCUAGAAUGUCGUCACGCGAGUACAAGGCAUAAAGAGAAUUCCUAUUUAACUGGAAUAUCAGGACAAGAAUCUACUGGUUUUACUGGACUGGAAUUCAAAGCAAUCAAAGCAUCCGGGUCGCGACGUGGAUUCUUUUUCCCUCCUAAUCUCAAUAUCGAAAUGCCUACCAUUCACGACACAGACGGACAGAUUUUCGCGUGAUAUUACGACGAUUGCACGCGGGGAAAACAGAACGAUUUCUCUGAAUGACGCGACCUGAAUUCGCGGAGAAACACUAUCGUGGAUAUCCUCGAAUGGAAUUCGAGGGUCUGACAAUGAAAUUUGCUCCCGGAAUCGUGCGCCAUUAAAAGUGAUCGUUGCUUGUUCGACAGCCGUGUAACCUGUGGCGCGUUGUAACUCACGUACGUCGGUAAUAAUUUUCUUGCACCACGUAAAUCCGACCACGAACCACUUCAAAGAUUUGUUAGCCGUCUCUGCCAUUUUGUCAGAGGCUGGGAUUGUUUUGUGACCGGAAGCCGCGUUGAAAUACCUCUGGGGUUAGGUCCUAUAUCUUUCUUCGGACGUUUAUUGCAUCGAUUUCUUUAU